AAAAAACCGAAAAAAAAAAACGGCAACGCCAAACACAACAAAAUCACAAAAUCAAAAACCAAAUACAGCAAAACUAAAACCACAACAGCAAACAGCAACAACAAAAAACACGUCAACAAAUACUCAAAAUGGAAAGGAGUGGUCCUUAUUGAACAUCCCAUGCUCUUGAUGAUGAAGCUCCAGACUCUGUUCAAUCUGAGAGAUGGAGGAUGUUUACAGAAAGUAUGAGCAAAACGUAAUCUAAUGGUGCUUUCAUUCCUGCUUAUUUUUAUCAAAGGCAUUCAUAUAAGGCUAUUUUAGAACUGAUAGCAACUUUGCACUGUGUGAAUAUGAGCAUGUGAACACACUGCAAAGUGCAAUUGUUUUUUCUUGUGAUAGUCACACACUGUGUCCAAUCGGCAAUGGGCAUAUGAUGUUCAAUAAGGACUGCCCCUUUCUGUUUUGACUUAAUGUUACCGUGUUUCUGAUUUGCUGUGCUGCUGAUGUGCUUUUUUUGCUUUGUUAAUGUGUUUUGAACUUAUGGGCCUCUGUACCCAUCAAUCAUGUUGGCUGACAAUUUUGAAAGCUCCGCCUCUUACAUCAUUAUGUAAGCCUUCUAGCCUGGGCAGUUAGUGUGUGAGUGUGUUAGAGAGGUUGUACUGGUUUGAGGACGAGCACAAACUUGAAAAAAAACAAAAUGACACUGGUCAAAUUAGAAAUGGUGACGGCAGUCAUGUCUGUGAGCUGCUGCACGAUACAUUGGCUAGUCUGAUUGCGUGUUUUUUUUUUUGUUUUUUUUUUAAAUAACGCAGAACAAGAACAUCCUGAUCCUGAUAGAAAGGGAGCAUCGAGCACAAGGCGGGGUACACCCUAGACAGGGUGCCAAUCCAUCGCAGGGCACAAUCACAUACACAUUCACACACUACAGACACUUUGGAAAUGCCAAUCAGCCUACAGUGCAUGUCUUUUGACCGGAGUACUCUGAGGAAACCCCCGCAGCGCAGGGAGAACAGGCAAACUCCGCACACACAGGGCAGCAGCGGGAAACGAAACCCCAACCCUGGUGGUGUGAGGCAAACGUGCUAACCGCUAAGCCACUGUGCGCCCAUAAAAAAUAAAAUAAAAUAAAUACAUAAGCAAAUUCAUGAAUGAAUAAUAAUAAUAAUAAUAAUAAUAAUUCAUACAUUGAAAUGUAGCAAAUAAAAACAGAAUAAGGAAGAAUGACUAUUUUAAGAAUAAAUAAUUAUGAAAAUAAUUCCCCAAAUAAUACUAUAAAAUAUAUCUAAUACCAUAAAGAAACUG
ensembl:lncRNA